rnacentral:piRNA from 1 species
GUCAUAGUCUCAGUGAGUUCAUACAUGUG